CAAGACUGUGUUUGCUCACAACGAGUACAUUCUGUUGCAUUUUCUUCCACGUUGUUCACCUUUCGUGGUUAAAGUAGAAAUCUCCUUUUGCUUUAAUUACAGUAGAACUGAAAGGACAUUGGUACGGUGAAGAUAACAGAAGAAAAGAGGUUUAGUUCUAAAGCUAAAUGUUCUAGCAUGGAUGACGUCUGUGACCUCUGAUCCAAGGUUCCUUUGGAAACCCGCCUGCGCUGUGUGCUGGUAAUUAAUUCCACGAUAGUUGUUCAACAUUGUGAGAUGAAAUAUCGUUAUCUAUCUCACUUAUUUUUGUCUCCCGGAUCUAUUUUGGGAAGCAGAUUCUUAGAUCAGCAAUUAGAAAUGUCACUUGCAUUUUCUUUAUGAUUUGCAAAGUGUAUAAUUGAGAAUAGUAAUCAAAUUCUUUGACAACUUCAGCAGUACAAAAAUGGCAAUUAAUUGUAAAUUUUGGAAGGCAUGGAUAAUAUUUGUCUAUUUUAGAACAUCUUGCUGAUCAGCAACAAACCUCUCUCUCUCUCUCUCUCUCUCUCUCUCUCUCUCUCUCUCUCUCUCUCUCUCUCUCUCUCUCUCUCUCUCUCUCUCUCUCUCUCUCUCUCUCUCUCUCUCUCUCUCUCUCUCUCUCUCUCUCUCUCUCUCUCUCUCUCUCUCCAAGAUCUGGUCCAAGUUGGCACUUCAAGCAUGAAGUCUUCCCUGAUACCUCCUCUUCAUGAAAGUUCUUUCUCCCUCCUCAGAUUUUCUCCUAACAUGUUAUGUCUCUCUACCCAUCUGCCCUAUAUUAUCUUUAUCUGUGACCCUGUAGAUGGUAAAUUUCUUAAGGGCAAGAGUUGUGCUUUUAUUUCAUUGUGGUCUUGAACAUAGCACUGAGUACAUGGUCUGCCUUUUCUUUAAUUGUUUAAUUGAAUCAUAUUAAUUAACUCAGCCAAGCUUAAAUUCAGAGUAAGAGGCAGAAGGAAUCCCAUGUUUCAUACUUUGUCAACUAUAUAAUCAUGUUCCAAACAACUCUUGAAUUUUGCCAGUGUGAAAAUGUCCUCUUCUUUGUCCUGGGAGAUCUAUAUUCACAUCAGUUUUAGAGAAAAUGUCACUUCUUUAAUUUUCAAAAUGAACUUUGAUUUCUCUUUUAUUUUAGUUGCUCAUACCUUGGUCCCAGGUCCCCCAUGAAACAUAGUGUACCAGGUACAGACUUUGAAAUAGUGGUGACACUGGGAGCUGAUGUUGAUAUAGCUAGUGGCUUAUAGCCUUCCCAGGCUUCUGCAGCCUUAGUCAGACCACAUUUGUUCAACUUUCCAAUUUUGAGACCUUCCUCAGUGCCUCCCAUUAUUUGUUCUAAUGAGGCACUUACUCUUCCUACUCACCUUACUUAGACCAUCAUAAUCCAGACAAAGCUCAACCUCUUUGUCAACAUUCAAGAUCCUCCACAGUUAGGAACUACCCUACGACCCAGACUUAUCACCCAUUAUUGCUCUUCCAUGUAUGUCACAAUACAGGAAACUAGACUGCUGGCGAUUUCUGAUCUCCGCCUGAAUUCAUCUUCUUCUAGGUCUGUUUAUACUCUGUUUUAAAAAAAUCCUUUUCUUCCUUUUUCGUUACCUGUGGGCUUCCUCCCUAUUCUUUAAAGUUUAAGUCAGAUGUUACUUCCUCCAGGAAGCCUACUUUAAUCACUUUCUGUGUCUCUCUUCAAGGUGCUUAUCCUAUAACAUUGAAUCUUGUGGCAACUCAUCAUUGUCCCAUCUUGUAUUCUGAGUUCCAAGAGAGCCUUAUAGAAAUUCUUACUGCCCCUCCCCCCCCCGGUACUUAGCAGAAGCUCUGUAUACAGCAGGUGCUUAAUAAAUGUUUGAAUGAUCAAUUAUCUUAUGUUCA
ensembl:lncRNA